GAUGAACGCUGGCGGCGUGCCUAAUACAUGCAAGUCGAGCGAACAGACGAGGAGCUUGCUCCUCUGACGUUAGCGGCGGACGGGUGAGUAACACGUGGAUAACCUACCUAUAAGACUGGGAUAACUUCGGGAAACCGGAGCUAAUACCGGAUAAUAUAUUGAACCGCAUGGUUCAAUAGUGAAAGACGGUUUUGCUGUCACUUAUAGAUGGAUCCGCGCCGCAUUAGCUAGUUGGUAAGGUAACGGCUUACCAAGGCAACGAUGCGUAGCCGACCUGAGAGGGGGAUCGGCCACACUGGAACUGAGACACGGUCCAGACGCCUACGGGAGGCAGCAGUAGGGAAUCUUCCGCAAUGGGCGAAAGCUUGACGGAGCAACGCCGCGUGAGUGAUGAAGGUCUUCGGAUCGUAAAACUCUGUUAUUAGGGAAGAACAAAUGUGUAAGUAACUAUGCACGUCUUGACGGUACCUAAUCAGAAAGCCACGGCUAACUACGUG
rnacentral:rRNA from 1 species